AGCAGUAGGGAAUCUUCCACAAUGGGCGAAAGCCUGACGGAGCAAUGCCGCGUGAGUGAAGAAGGCCUUCGGGUCGUAAAACUCUGUUAUAAGAGAAGAACAAAUUGUAGAGUAACUGCUACAGUCUUGACGGUAUCUUAUCAGAAAGCCACGGCUAACUACGUGCCAGCAGCCGCGGUAAUACGUAGGUGGCAAGCGUUGUCCGGAUUUAUUGGGCGUAAAGGGAGCGCAGGUGGUUUCUUAAGUCUGAUGUGAAAGCCCACGGCUUAACCGUGGAGGGUCAUUGGAAACUGGGAAACNUGAGACAG
rnacentral:rRNA from 1 species